rnacentral:lncRNA from 1 species
AUGAUGUCAUCCACAAUGGGAGAGAGGGAAAAGAAUCUUUGAAAGAGCCAACAUUAUGCUGGAAGAAAUUUGAUAGUCAAACUUGGACGUAGUGGCUUGGGCCUGUAAUCCCAGCACCCAGGAGGCUGAGAAGAGACCCUCCUCCUGGAUGCCUGCGGAGACAGUUUCUUGCUGGUGGCUUUGGAUCAGGAUACAGAACUCAGGAUAUAGAACUCUCAGCUCCUCCAGCGCUAUCUGCCUGCACACCGCCAUGC